CUCUGCUGGUCAUGCAAAUAAGGCAGUGUAAUUUAUAUUCUUCUUUUCAAUGAAAGUGCUUUGCACAUAGUAGGUACUCAUUAAAGAUGAAUUCAUUUUUCAUUCAUGUUCAUUGAAAACAGAACUGAAAGUCUGCUACUGGCAUAUAUAAUUUCAAAAAAUCAGACAUAUUAGCGGGCAUAGGAAAAACAAUGGUAAAGUAAAAUAAAAAGGAAUUUUACUUAAAUCAUUUGGUAUACAUUACCGUCUUAAAAGACAUUUAAAUUCACUGUGGGUAAUAUAAGCAGCCAGUUCAACUUUAAAUUCAUUUUUUGUAUAAUAAUUCUGCUACCAAUAUAAAAUUGUGAUUUAUUUCUAGAGAAGUAAAAUAAUCUGUUUAAAUUUAAUGUUAGUAUAAGCAUGGAAUUCUUAAAUUAAUAAAGUGUAUAUUUCAGAGAACUAGCAAUAUAUCUUGACAUGUUCAGAGAUAUACAGUACAUAAAGGUUAAAUAGCAAUGGUAAAAUCUUCCCAGUUAUUUUAGACUUUAGAAGAUAAUAUCUGCAUCCUGAUCCAAUAUGUAUUCAUAUGAUGAAAGUUAAAACCACCUCCACUGUUUUAAUACUGUGAAUAAAUUGCAUUCUUGAUGAUUUUCAUAUUAUCUAUUCAUUCUCAACACUCCUAGAUUCUUACUUAUUAUUUUUAAAUGCUUUGUAGUACCAGAGAAACCACCGUAAAGAAACACAUACUAUUCAUUUCUAUUUGAAAUCAAAUAUCAAGCUUAAAGCAAAAUGACCAACAGUGAACUGUAUUUAAUUUCAUUUUCUUAUGCAGGAACAAAUGCACUAAGUAAUCCAAGCUCAGAGAUACUGGUGUAUGGUAUUUUCAAGCAAUGAAACUAAGCAAGUGUUACUGAGGUUGAAGGUUACCCAGUGUGCACUCUUAGUGCCUGAUGGGAAGAAUAAAGUUAUCAAAAACCCUUUAGCUAUAUUCACAUGAUGCCAAAUUCCUGUCCGAACACUAAAACAUUCUUUUUUGUUUGUUUGUUUUUUAGGGCUGAACACCAAAACAUUCUUUAAAUCAACUGGGUGAAGUUUAUUUAUUUAUGAGGUUUAAAUCCAGGAGGAUAUCAGAGAUUUUUCAGAUCUGUGACAUUUUUCUUGGUAGAGAAAUGAGGAAAAGGACCUAGGGGUUGGGGUUGUGAAGACAUGUAAUGAAUUCAGAAAACUUCAGCACCUUUUCCUUUUAUUACUAAGGUCUCAUGAGAUUUAACUAGAAACUAAUUUUCUAUAAGGAAGUUCUUCAUUUCUAUAUCAUUGUCUCAUUUCUGGUUAUUUUCUUGCCACAGGUAAAAAAUAUGAUGAAAAAAAUCAUCUUGUCUACAUAUAGGUAAUAUGGCAUAUCCUCUGCAUUUCAGAUUUUCAUAAAAGGUAUAAUGCUUAACUUCAAUUUAAUAAUUAUUGCAGAUAUACAAAUUAAAACAUCAAGUGUGUUUGUCUAUUACAUUAGGAAGAUUUAAAAGAUGAUUUACCAAUCACCAUUUACCAUUUACCCAGUGUCAAUAAGUAAGUUUAACAUUAUGACACUAAAAAAUGUCAUCUCAAAACUGUGAUGCAAUAGAUAAAUAGUCCUAUUUCCAAAAUACAGCAACCCAAAUAUCAUUAAAACACUUCUAGGACAAAACAUCUAGAAAUUCUGUAUAAAAUAAUAAUCCUUCUUUUUUAUCAUUUUUGGGGACAACUUCCAAGAAAGAAGAUAAAUUAUUAGAAGACAAAAAGAUUGAAAAUAGGAACCACAGUGGUAAGAAGCAUCAAAUAUACAACUCCUCUGAAGUGGGAACCUCCUGCACUAUUGGUGGGCAUCUAAAUUGAUACAAGUGCUCUGGAAAAGAGUGUGGCAGUUCCUAAAAAAACUAAAAACAGAGCUCUACAAUAUGAUCUAGUAAUCCCAUUCCUGGACAUCUAUCCAGAAAAAAAAGCAUAAUUUGAAAAGAUACAUGCACCCCAAUAUUCAUUGCAACACUGUUUACGAUAGCCAAGACAUGGAAGCAACCUAAAUGUCCAUCAAUAGAGGAAUGGAUAAAGAAGAUGUGGUACAUAUAUACAAUGAAAUAUUACUCAGCCAUAAAAAAAUGAAAUAAUGCCAUUUGCAGCAACAUGGAUGGACUGAGAAGUUAUCAUACAUGUGUGUGUGUGUGUAGGUGAGAAUUCACUGAAACCCCUACUUAAAGACAGAAAAUUUGAAGGCCUGCAUUUUCACCAAAAGUUUAAUGUAAAAAUACUUACUCCUGGAAAAUAGUAAUUACAAAGCACAUUGUUUCAACUUUGUCUCUGGGUGGGGAAGAAAGUCUUUUUAGCGUUUAUAAUCACAGAUAUGUUUUAUUGAGCACUUUGGACUUAUUUGAGUAAUCUGGGAAACCCACAGCUAAAAAUUAAAAUAAUUUGGGUAGCUAGCUCUCUGUGUCACCUGAAAAAAAGUGCAAAUCUUUAUUGGAAGGAAAUAACUUUAACCAAGGGUUCACAUUAUUUGCGCAUGUAAUAUCCAACUGAUAAUGAGCUCAGAAUCCAAGUAAAUAUAUUACCAUGAGUCAGGAGAACAUAAAUCCCCACCCCAGGAAGUUCCUGUUGUGGCUCAGAAGUAAUGAACCUGACUUGUGUCCAUGAGAAUGUGGGUUCAAUCCUUGGCCUUGCUCAGUGGGUCAGGGAUCUGGUGUUGCCGUGAGCUGUGGGUAGGUCGCAGAUGUGGCUUGGAUCUUGCAUUGCUGUGGCUGUGCUGUAGGCCAUCUGCUGCAGCUCCAAUCUGACCCCUUGCCCAGGUACUUCCAUAUACUGCAGGUAAGGCCCUAAAAAAGCAAAUAAAUAAAUAAAUAAAAUUCCCGGAGUUCCCGUCGUGGCGCAGUGGUUAACGAAUCCGACUAGGAACCAUGAGGUUGCGGGUUCGGUCCCUGCCCUUGCUCAGUGGGUUAACGAUCCGGCGUUGCUGUGAGCUGUGGUGUAGGUUGCAGACGCGGCUUGGAUCUCGCGUUGCUGUGGUUCUGGCGUAGGCCGGUGGCUACAGCUCCGAUUCAACCCCUAGCCUGGGAACCUCCAUAUGCCGCAGGAGCGGCCCAAGAAAU
rnacentral:lncRNA from 1 species